AUGGACCUGGACAUGGACAGGGCCACGGUCGCGGUCAGGGCCAUGGCCAUAAUAAGUGAAGAAGAUAAGAAGACUUUGAACGAAUAGGAAGGGGAAAUAAGAGGAUCCUCUUCCUCCUCUGAUGAGAACUGAUGGAUCCAGCUGCCCUGUUUUUCACUCUAAUCUUGUCUAUCGAUUUAAAAGAACGUAUAAUCAGCUAAUUUUCUUCCUUUCUACUAACUGGUGCCAUGGAAACAAGGCUGAGACUUUGUACCCAAACCUGAUUUUUGGAACUAAGUGUGACAAUAAAAAUAUCUAAAUGGGU